rfam:Triticum aestivum genome assembly, contig: Triticum_aestivum_CS42_TGACv1_scaffold_031431_1BL
AUAGUACUCCCUCGUUCGGAAAUACUUGUCAUCAAAAUGAAUAAAAGGGGAUGUAUCUAGAUGUAUUUUAGUUUUAGAUACAUCAUUUUUUGUUUAUUUUGAUGACAAGUAUUUUCGGACGGAGGGAGUAGUAC